GAGUUUGAUCCUGGCUCAGAAUGAAGGGGGGCGGCGUGCCUAAUACAUGCAAGUCGAACGAGAGUCCUUCGGGACUCUAGUGGCGAACGGGUGAGUAACACAUGAACAACCUACCCUGACGACUGGGAUAACAGUUUGAAAAGACUGCUAAUACCGGAUAGGUAACGGAGGGACAUCCUUCUGUUAUUAAAGUUGGGAUACAACACGACAGGAUGGGUUCAUGUCGCAUUAGCUAGUUGGCGGGGUAACGGCCCACCAAGGCGAUGAUGCGUAGCCGAUCUGAGAGGAUGAACGGCCACAUUGGGACUGAGACACGGCCCAGACUCCUACGGGAGGCAGCAGUAGGGAAUUUUCGGCAAUGGGCGGAAGCCUGACCGAGCAACGCCGCGUGAACGAAGACGGUCUUUGGAUUGUAAAGUUCUGUUACGAGGGAAGAACGGCAGUGAUAGGGAAUGAUCACUGAGUGACGGUACCUCGCCAGAAAGCCACGGCUAACUACGUGCCAGCAGCCGCGGUAAUACGUAGGUGGCAAGCGUUAUCCGGAAUCAUUGGGCGUAAAGGGUGCGUAGGCGGCUUAUUAAGUCUGUAGUGAAAUCGUAGAGCUCAACUCUAUCAAGCUACGGAAACUGGUAAGCUAGAGUGCGGUAGAGGCUAGUGGAAUUCCAUGUGUAGCGGUAAAAUGCGUAGAUAUAUGGAGGAACACCGGUGGCGAAGGCGGCUAGCUGGGCCGUAACUGACGCUGAGGCACGAAAGCGUGGGGAGCAAAUAGGAUUAGAUACCCUAGUAGUCCACGCCGUAAACGAUGAAUACUAAGUGUUGGAGAAAUUCAGUGCUGCAGUUAACGCAAUAAGUAUUCCGCCUGGGGAGUAUGCACGCAAGUGUGAAACUCAAAGGAAUUGACGGGGACCCGCACAAGCAGCGGAGCAUGUGGUUUAAUUCGAAGCAACGCGAAGAACCUUACCAGGGCUUGACAUCCCUCUGACCGGCCUGAUAACGAAGGCCUUUCUUCGGACAGAGGAGACAGGUGGUGCAUGGUUGUCGUCAGCUCGUGUCGUGAGAUGUUGGGUUAAGUCCCGCAACGAGCGCAACCCUUGUCUUUAGUUGCCAUCAUUCAGUUGGGCACUCUAAAGAGACCGCCGGGGACAACUCGGAGGAAGGUGGGGAUGACGUCAAAUCAUCAUGCCCCUUAUGUUCUGGGCUACACACGUGCUACAAUGGUCGGUACAAAGAGCAGCAAGACCGCGAGGUGGAGCAAAUCUCAAAAACCGAUCCCAGUUCGGAUUGCAGGCUGCAACUCGCCUGCAUGAAGUCGGAGUUGCUAGUAAUCGUGGAUCAGAAUGCCACGGUGAAUGCGUUCCCGGGUCUUGUACACACCGCCCGUCACACCAUGGAAGUUGGGGGCGCCCGAAGUUGGACAGAAAAUAGUUUACCUAAGGCGAAAUCAAUGACUGGGGUGAAGUCGUAACAAGGUAACC
rnacentral:rRNA from 1 species